UUGGCUGUUUGUUUACGAAAUCUAAAAGAACGGGAUUAUUUUAUGGUGGAAGUGGUGAAUCCUUUAAAUACGGAAGACAAUGUAUAAACGGGGUUUUUUGUUUGGUGAACGUUGGAGUGAGUGAUUUUGUUACGGGGUUAUUUUGGGCAGUCGGUUCUAUUUGUGUUGGAAACAUAAUUAAUCGUGAUUAUAAUAAAGUUGUGUAGAAGAAGUAAGGAAUCGUAUUGAGAGAUUUAAGUUACGACAUCACAACUAUGUGAACGUGAACUAUGUUGGUGUACGUGGUGGGCCAAAAUGGAAAGGCUUUAAAGAAAGUUUUGUCCCUUAGCGGAAAAAGGAGUAGUUCCAGUGAGAGUAAACCAUGCAGUUGUUGCUUAGUGAAGCCUUUCGACAAGAUACGGGAAAAAGUCCCGCGGCAAUAGUAUUCUGAAGGAAAAGGAGAUCAUUACCUAACUGGAGACGUUGAUUCUUGCGAGAAAUUAGACAAUACCGGGAAGGGAAGAAGGUAGGAAGUUGUAUUCCCUAUAGGCGAAACUUGUAUGUCGGCAUACUGUAAGCAAGCAAUGGCAAAGCAAGCAAGGUAUGGAAGGAAAAAGCCACAUUUAAAAUAAAAGACCCUCCUCUGUUAUUUGAACAAUCCGUAAGAAAUGUGACUGUUAAAAUUAGCAUAAUGCAAUCCGAGGAGAACAAAAUGUGGUAAAUUGAUAUUUCGGAGUCCAACUUUUCUUCACUGUAAUAAUUUGCAGUCUCUUGUACCUUCACAUGUAAUUUUUACAAGAACCUAGUAAAUAAUUUGAAACUCCUGUUGUGUGUUGAAAUGUCAAUAUUCAAAACGUGACGCUUGGUAACUUAGUCAUGUCAAUGUGACAUGCGAUUUUUAAAUUUCCCGGUUUUUAUAAUUUUGUGGCUGUGAAACGGGCCUCUUAUUACAUUAGCCAAAAUUUAUUUGGAGUGGCUUAACUGCAUCUGUUGGGUGAACAGAUAAUUACCUAGUUGUAUUAGCUGCCUAGUUUAGUGUAUAAGUGAGGGCUGAUCUACUCCCUAUCUGUUGUUAUUAAAUUCUUAGUCGACAUUCUGUUAUCUAGUACUACCUAAUACGGACUACCCAAAAUGGGCGAAAUAGAAAUCAUACAACCACAAUAAGAAAAACAUGUGCGAUUUAUAAAGGCUUUACGUAGGUAUAGAGUUAAACGUGAAAAAGGAGAAUGCAUAACGUGGCAGUGUAGAGGCAAAAAACUCCAUUGUGAUUAAAACGAAAGCUAACCAAAUUUGUGCAGACCAAACAUAGUCUCUGCAGAAGCUAAAAUAUGGGUCUCCAAACCAAAGAAGCGUGAGAUGUCAAAUAAUUGAGGAUCUACGUUGUAAUGGACACUCAACCGAAUUUACUGUACCGCACGUGGGUUAAGACGACAUCAGAAGAAAUUUCAAAUUCAAGCUUCAAUGAGGCGGUAUAAAAUUUCUAAUUCGGGAAAAAAACUGUGUGGAAUAGGAAGAAUGUUCGUUCUGCAAUAAGGGAAACAUUUUAUCUGCGACGGAACAUGUACACAUUUUUUUCAAUCAUACAGAAUUCAUGUGGACCUUAACAGCACCGAUAGGAA